rnacentral:rRNA from 1 species
UACGGGGGGGGUAAGCGUUGUUCGGAAUUACUGGGCGUAAAGGGCUCGUAGGCGGCCAACUAAGUCAUACGUGAAAUCCCUCAGCUUAACUGGGGAACUGCGUGUGAUACUGGAUGGCUUGGAUUCGGGAGAGGGAUGCAGAAUUCCAGGUGUAGCGGUGAAAUGCGUAGAUAUCUGGAGGAAUACCGGUGGCGAAGGCGGCAUCCUGGACCGACAUUGACGCUGAUGAGCGAAAGCUAGGGGAGCAAACGGG